AUGGAAGAUCAGAAAUGCAAAUUGUCUCCGACCACCUUGAUAAUUUUAAUUCUCGGUAUCAUUUACAUUCUAAGCAUUUCCCCAGCUAAUGCUGCUAUGGCAGUAGCUGAUACAAGGAGCUCAUUGUCAACUUACAUUAUCCAAGUACGAAAGCCGACGGACAAACAUUUCGCUACCGUAGAGGAUCUCGAUUCUUUGUAUCGGUCCUUUUUACCCACCACAGCAGCCAGCUCUAACCAAGAGCAAAGAAUGGUUCACUCGUACCAGCAUGCGAUAUCCGGGUUCGCAGCCAAAUUGACCGCCGAGGAAGCUAAAGCCGUUCAGGAGAAGGACGGUGUUUUGCAGGUACACCCGGAGGAGGUGCUUUCUCUACACACAACUCGCACCCCCGACUUCCUGGGAUUGCACCAAGGAGUCGGGCUCUGGAAGGACUCGAACUUUGGUAAGGGCAUGAUCAUCGGACUACUGGACUCAGGGGUUUUCCCGGACCACCCUUCCUUCAACGACGAGGGGGUGCCUCCACCCCCAGCCAAAUGGAAGGGGAGGUGUGACUUCAACGGCACGUCCUGCAACAACAAGCUCAUCGGUGCGAGGUCUUUCAUCAACCCGAUCAACGCCACGCAGGCCGUUCCACCAUAUGAUGAUACUGGGCAUGGCACGCACACUUCCAGCAUAGCUGCCGGUGCUUUUGUGAGGGAUGCCAGCGCGCUCGGUAAUGCAAAAGGCACGGCCGUAGGCAUGGCGCCUCUUGCACAUUUGGCAAUGUACAAGGUUUGCGUAGAUGACGCUUGCCCUGCAAGCAGUAUAUUGGCUGGGUUCGAUGCCGCCAUCGAGGACGGUGUCGAUGUGCUUUCCGUCUCUUUAGGAGGAAAUCCCAAACCGUUCUUCAACGACUGGAUUGCGCAGGGUGCAUUUGCCGCCACCCAAAAGGGCAUCUUCGUCAGCUGCUCCGCGGGGAAUUUAGGGCCAUACAACACCACAUUGUCAAACGAGGCUCCGUGGAUUCUCACUGUGGGUGCGAGCAGCAUCGACCGUAGCAUAGAGGCCACAGCGCGGCUGGGGAAUGGGCUAGAGUUUGAUGGGGAGACCUUGUACCAACCGCACAACUUCCAACCGGCACUAGUUCCCCUAAUUUAUCCAGAAAUAGAUGAUGGCAUCCAGGACUGCGGUGAAGGAUCACUAAGGUUUCGCUCGGACAUUCGAGGGAAAGUGGUUGUGUGCGACUUAGGAAGUACUGAGCCAGUCGCAGCAGGUCAAGAGGUCAAGGAUAGAGGUGGUGUGGCCAUGAUCCUCGUGAACCGUCCCACUGACGGAUACACGACACUGGUUUAUGCGCAUGUCCUACCCGCCGUGGAAGUGAGCUAUGUCGCGGGGAGAGAGAUCAAGAGAUACUUUAACACAGCGUCAACACCAGUGGCCACGAUCCUAUUCAAAGGCACGCACAUCAUCAGGAGAUCGAUCGCCCCGGCUGUAGCAUCAUUCUCUUCCCGCGGCCCCAACCGCCAAAGCCCAGGCAUCCUCAAACCUGACAUCAUCGGCCCGGGCUUGAACAUUCUCGCUGGUUGGCCAUUUCCUUUAGACAAUUCUACGAACUUGAAGCACGCAUUCAACGUGAUCUCCGGGACCUCCAUGUCCUGCCCCCACCUCAGUGGUGUGGCGGCGCUGCUCAAGAGCGCGCACCCCAAUUGGUCGCCAGCAGCCAUCAAGUCCGCCAUCAUGACCACUGCCACCACCAUCAACAUGGAGGGCCGACCCAUCGUGGACGAGACACUCCAUCCAGCGGACAUUUUCGCCACUGGCGCAGGACACAUCAACCCAUCGAAGGCCGUCGACCCGGGUCUCGUUUACGACGAUGGACCGCAAGAUUACAUCCCUUACCUUUGUGGGCUCAUCUCCAACGAGUCCCAAAUCGAGGUUAUAGUUAAAAAAAGUCAACUGCUCGAGCAUAGGGAGCAUACCUGAUUACCAGCUCAACUAUCCAUCGAUCACCGUAAGCUUCCACAAGCCUUCGGUGACGAACGUGAGUGUGACGAGGACGGUGAAAAACGUCGGACCCGCAAAGUCGCGUUACCAGUCAGUCGUCGACCCGAUCAAGGGUCCGGUCUCAAUUGGCGUGUACCCGCGUGAACUCGUGUUCACAGAGGCGAACCAGACAGCGAGUUACCGGGUUGACUUUACGAGGGAAGUUGACUCGAAAGCGCCGUCGCCGUAUGUUCAGGGGGCAAUCACGUGGGUCUCUGCUCGGCAUUCGGUUCGAACCCCUGUCGCUGUUGUGUUUAAGUGA